UGUCCACAAUGUCCCCAACUCUGCAAAGACAGAGGAAAAGUUUUUCUUCCCUGACAAAUACAAGAGGAGCAUGGUACAUUCUUAAAUCUUAGACCCCUACUUUAAGAAGUAAACUUCUUCAUUCAGAGUCUACAUCACAGCUACUUUUUCUGAAAAGUCUGUUUCUGAUACCCAUGGAACCCGGUUAGGGCUGAUUUGUCCUGAUCAUUACUGUAAUUUCCCCUUUCUAGCUCAACCUGAGCCAUGGAACCUCCUGAGAGAUUUCUCAGGUGCUCACUGAUCAUUUGUCUGAACUGGCAAACUAUCCUUUCUCCCAAGAUUUUCAUCUCCUGGUUCUGUCUCCUACCUACUAUACUCACCAUGCCCUUCCCUCUCCCUCAACUUGCAUAUCUGUAAAAAGAAGGAUCUGGAAUCAAUGCUUUCUAAAACUUCUUCCCAUGCCAACAGGUUACGACCCCACAAUCUUACCACACAAAUUUUAUGCUAAGUCAUUCUAGCAUAUUAAACUAGAAGGAUGACAAUUCUUCAGCAAAUCUGUGCUCCAUUAUUCAGUUACAUCACUGUAACCCUCAAACAGAUUAAAUGGUAUAGUAAUACUUCUUCUAACGAUUUUCUGAGUUACCAGAACCAUCUAGAGAAAUCAUCCUACAACCAGCCUUAACAAUUUCCUUUUUGCUGUUGCCCUCAUUAUUUUUUACAAGUCCUUCUUCUGAAAAUGGAGGAGGAAGAAGAUGUUGGCUUUCUCAUUUUUAAAUAAGUUAUAUUUAAAACCCUCAAUCACUUUGUCAAAAAAGGGCUUUCUUGAAUAUUGCUUCUUGCAGAUGCACUUAAAAAGCCACAUAAAAAAGCACAUAAAGAAAGAAAAUUGGUAUCAUUUUGUAUUUGUUUUUAAAACAGAGGAAAAUAAUUAUUCCUAUUCAGUUGCUCAACGCAAUGCAUCAUUCUUAAUUUUUCAUUGUUUCUUCUCUGACAUAACACAGCAAAAUAUUUUAGAUUUUUUUUCCUCUCUCUGCCUAAUAGUUUCAUAAGCUCUAUUUGUUUCUGAAGCAUAAUGACUCACCUUAGGUUGGUGCUUGCUGAAUCCUUUCUCUCUGAAAUGGAGCAUUAUACCACAAUCACCUCAGCCCAAACCUUUAAGACAAAAGAGGGACUUUAAUGAAACAGAAAUAAUCGUGACUCCCCAUUUUUCCAGAAGUGAGGUCUCAUAUCUCACCAUGUUUGAAUGAAGCAAUAAGUUAGAUGUCAAGAGCAAUUACAGCCUUGAAGGUCAAAGCUUGCUUAAUUAAAAAAUUGGAAGGUCCUCUCCUUGUUCAAGUCUUUUGAAAGCACUGGAGACCUUUAACAUCUACCUGGGGAGUCAAAGGAAAUGAAGUCAUGGUCAAACAGGCUAAUACUGUGCCUUGGAAUUCAGACUCAUGCUCCCUCCUGCACUGGCCUCUGCAAAAGCCCAUAAAUUUGAUACAUAAAUUGAAUGGAUGGCAUUAUGACCCAAGGCAGCAAAAAGGUAAUGUGCUGAAAGUGCUAUUAAAUGGCAGAGAAUUUCUGCCAGGUUUUGGGGUUUAGCUGGUGGGAAGCGAAUGUUAAAAAUGUUAAAUUUUUGAUAGGUCCGCUUUCCCAGUACAUUUUCAUUGUUUCAGGCUUGGUCCUAGAAGCACCUUCAUUAGAAUCUUCUUAGGAGGAUGGACGCAGACUCCACAGGCCUCCUCCAAAUCAAUGAAUCUGGAAAUGGGACACUGGAAUCUGCAUUCUAUUAAGUUUCCUUAAGCAAUUCUUAAAUACAAUAAAAUUUGAGAAAGUACAGAUCUAGUUUAUUUUUCUCAUUUUAGCAAUGAGAGGAAACUACUCUGCUGACCACAUUUGGAGUCAGAAUUACAAUCUGUAGCUUCUCAUUCCAUAUUUAUAUCCUUUUCCACAAACCAAUCAGACUAUCUAGGUGAAUCUAUACGCCAAGUUUUUUCAUUUAGGUUAAUAUGUUUUCAGGAGUAUCCUCACCCCAAAGAAUAUUGUUUGUCACAAUGACUAAUACUAUUCCCAUAUUCAAUGUUUAAAAUGUAUCAACCAUAUUCUUACAUCAUAAUCCUCAGUGCUACUCCUCCAAACCCAUUCUUAUUUAUUUUCUGUCUUCUUGCGAUUGCAUUUUUAUCAACAGUUUCUGCUUCUUUGAACUUUAACAGUCUGAAAUAUUCGUGAAUUGAGAGACAUUCCAACAAUCAUGGUAUUUUUAUAAUUGCAACCCCUAUUGUCCAAAUAACACAAGGACCAAGAUAUAAGCAGUCUUAUAAAUUCAUGCCACAUCAACUUGCAGAAAGAAUCAAGACCUAAGAGUUGCAAAGUUUGGUUUCUAUUCUUUCUCAGUCACUAACUCACGUUAUGCAGGGCAUUUCCCUUCUGAGCCCCUAUUUCCUCUCUGGAGAAAGAAGGCAUAAUUCUUAAAAAUAGGUAUCUUUGCAGUUAUUUUAUUCUCAAAUGGAAAGCAGAAAAACCAGGACCCUAUGCUGUCAUUAACUCACAUUGUUCUUCAGGAGUGUGAAUAAUCAGGAAAUGCAAAUAUCUCUAAUUAUGUCAAGCUGCCAAAGGAACAACUGUCAAUGCAUUCUAUUAUUUGGCUGGAGAGGAGCUCCAGGAAUUGUAGAGUUCCCUGUGGUUAGAGGGGAAGAAAUGAAUGAGCUCCUGUAGGAGGUGUUAAUGAGGCCCCAGCAUCUGUGUGGGAGGGCAGAAGAGACUACUGGGAGAAAAUAUCUCCAGAGGAUGUGGUCCACGCUGUGCUCUUUCUACAAAAGGCUAAGGAAGUGAGGGAAGAACAGGAUCCUCAUAGAAGCAGAGUAGGAAUUUGAUUUGCAGUGCAGGAAAUUCAGCUUAGAACAUGCUGUGGCUAAACAGUUCAACCUAAUUAAAGCAUUCCCAAGUGACUCAGGAAGACAUGCAUGUGUGAGGUUGAUUUCUCCUCAAUAAUUCCACAGUGUUUGUUUUUUUUUAAAGUAGUGGAAAUGUGCCCAGGGUGCCUAGUUACCAAUGGCACCUCUGGACACAACAAGAAAAUCUGAAGACCUGCAGACAAGAAAGCUGGAUUUGAAUUUCACUUGUCACAUUUUUAUACAGUUUUUACAGUGUCCUUGUAUCCAUGGCUUGAUGCUUCUAGGAGUCCCUUUCUAAUAGAACUGGGAUUAAUACUGUCUUCUCUUCCUCUCUCAAGUGACAGAAAAGGAAUAAUGAGAUGGUAUGUCAGAGUCAUAUUAGACUUUAUUAUCCAAAUGUAAGGUAGAGACUAAGAAACAGAUUCUGGAGAUCGAUUAGAUUUUAAUCACUGCCUUUUCAUUUCUUAAAUGGGUGACCUUGUGUGAUUCAUUUGAAAUUUCCAAUUCUCUCUUACACUGAGAAUCAGGGAGAAAAUUACUACCUACUUUAUAUGCUUACACAGAAGACUAAAUGAGUCGAGCUAUACUGUCUGCUUUAGGCUGUGUCUGAACAGAUGCUAGCCAUCAUCAUCACCCUCAUCACCGUCCUCAUCUCCAUCACUGUCAUCAUCGGCACAUCAUACCUACACUUUGCUGGAUCAUAACAAAUCUGAAGAACACAAAAGACAACACAUGCAUGCUCAUUGCUUUGUCUCAGUCAGUGGUCUUCUCUUAACAAGAAGGGGAUAGAAGAUUCGACCCCAGUUCAACCAAGAGCCAAAGAGAGCUUUCACAUAAGAGCUGACAUUGAUGAGGAGACCCAGAUGCUUCAUUCCCAGCAGUACAUUUGCGUCUUCAUUUGAUUGUUUGACAGAUUUACCAUAUGUCUAACCUUAUCAUCUUUCCAAUUCACUCCUUUAUAUGAAUUUUUUAUGUUAUUGCAUUUUUACUAUGAAGUAUAACACAAAUACAGAAGAUACUUAAAACCUAAAUGGACAUUUUAAUAUACUAAUGUAAAAUAAAGGCAUUUGUAACCAUACCUGGGGAAAGACAUAGACAUAAACAGAAUUCCAGAAUCACCUACCUCCUCUCCCGGCUAUCUGCCUAAUCUAAUCUCUUUUCUUUCCCAUAGGAAAAAACCACUAUCCUGAGGUUUAUAGAAUCCAUUUCCUUGAUUUUCUUUAUAAUUUUACUACCUAAGCAUGCAUUUGUAAACACUAUAAUUUUGUGGGUUAUUAAUAUAACAAUAUUACGGAAAUUCAUUUCACACACUAUACAAUUUGCUCAUUUAAAAUGUGCAAUUCAAUGGUUUUAAUGCAUUUACAGAGUCGUGCAACCAUCGCUAAAAUCAAUGUUAAAAUAUUUUCGUCGUGCCAAAGGAAAGUCUGUAUUCAUUGGCAGUUACUGUCUAUUUCCAAUCAAAUACCCUAGCCUUAGACAAAAUCACCUUUUUUUUUUCUAUGUACAUAUUUACCUAUUCUAAACAUGUCAUGUAAGUGGAAUCAUACAAUAUAUAGUCUUUGUGUCUGGUGUCUGACUUCUUUCACUUAGCAAAAUAUCUUCAAGAUUCAUCCAUGUUGUAGACACAUCAGUGGUUUAUUCCACUAUAUUUCUCAAUAAUAUUCAUUAGUAUUUCUAUAUAUGUAUUUUAUAAUAAUCUUGUCAAGUUAUUCAUAUAUAUAGGUACAUCAAAAACUACUAGGAUUUUGAUUGGAAUUUCACUGAAUCUAUAAAAUGGUUUGGUGGUAAUUCGUAUUUUCUGACAUAGUGAGUUUUCUAAUCCAUGCUUCUAGCAUAUCCCUCUAUUUAUUUAGCUCUCUAUUAAAUUUUCUUGAUAAUAAUCUCUAUAGUGAUUUUGCACAUCUCUUGUUAGAUUCAACCCUAGGUGCUUGAUUUUUUUCAAAACUAUUCUAAAUGGUGUCUUUUUAAAUUUGUAUAUUCAUAAUGUUUAAUGUUGACAUAUAGAUCAGUUUGUGUACAUUGAUUUUUGUAUUCAUCAAAAUUAGAUAAAAAUUAUGAUUUCUGGGAGUUCCCAUUUUGGUUCAGCAGAACCAAACCUGACUAGUAUCCAUGAGGACAUGGGUUGGAUCCCUGGCCUCACUCAAUGGGUUAAGGAUCUGGUGUUGCCAUGAGUUGUGGUGUAGGUCAAAGACAUGG
rnacentral:lncRNA from 1 species